rnacentral:lncRNA from 1 species
UUUUGGUUUUGGUUUUUUUUAUUGAGAAAUUAUAAAUCCAUGUUAUUUUGUUCAAAUUGGUAAGGUCAUUUACUCUUUCUAUUGACUGUCCCUUUAAAGCCCAUAUUUUUAAAAAUGUAUUCUUAGGAAUAAAAUUUUGGUUUCUAACUCUUUAAAAAAAAACUAUACUGAAAUGCUGAUAACUUCUAAAAUCUCUUAACUUUUCUCACUCUUUCUGAAGGUAAAAAGCUGCUAGCAUAGGCGGUUGUCACCUGUAUCCUAGCAUCAGGGAUUAAGCAAUGUGGUCUUUCUUCUAUCUAGUAAGGAACUGCAAGGCUCUAACUUUCAGCCUGCUAGUCAGAAGUCCCAGGAAGAAAGGUGGACACUUUGAAAAGUGAUUGUAGUGUUUAUUUCUAAGUUGGAAAAUUUUUUCCUAUGAAACCUGUCUAAAAAAAAAGAAGGGGAAAAGCAAAAAUAUCCUAAGUAGGGCAGGGAGAAAUUUUUCCUCUCAUUCUUCCCUUUGGAGCAAAAACUAUUGAACCAGGAAAAGAGAAUAAUGCUCACAGAAGGAAAACCUUUUACAUAAGCAAAUAUGCAUAAACUCUCAGGUAAAUUCACAUAAAGAUUCAAUCAUGGGUCCAGCUUCCAUGCAGUCUCACAAUUACAUACUUAUACAUACACUUGGAGCAAAAGACCAAACACCAAUGCAGAAAGAACUCACUCAUUCUGGAUGAAAUAUGACCUCCAAUCUUUAUUGCAUACAGAAAGAAAAAGCUUCUACUGUUUUAAUGUUAACUGUAUUAAACCUGAGUUUUUAAGAAGAAAGCUUUUUUUUUUUCCUUUAAUUAGACUAAGCCUGCCUUGUUAUUAAGAAAGGACCCGUUGUGUCCCAUGUUAAGGAGAAGCCUGCCUGCUCCUUCUGCUCUCUGCAGCUUCUUUUUUCCUCUUUUUUUCCUCUUUUCCUCUGCAUUCUGCACAUUGUUCUCUUAGUUUUUUAAGUUACCUAUACUUUCUAAGUUAUUCCACUCUGCAUUCUAAACUUGUUCUCUCCUCCUGCUCUGAUGUCACAACAAUGCUCUUACUCUCAAUGCCUUUUCUCCCAACGCUGUGCCUAUACUUCCAAGUUCUUCUUGAGUUCAGUUCUGUCUAAAACGUGUUCUGUCUAAAAGCGUCUCCUCAGCUCCAUUCUGAUGCUUCUCUUUGUCCUCAGAACUUAUACAUCUUUCAGAAUACAUGAUCGCAUGUUAAAAAGUUCAUCACAAGUUCACAUGUAAAAUCAAAUCAUAGAUUGAAAUAGAAGUUUACAACAAAGAAUUCUUACAUGCAUAUCCAUUAGGAGUAAAUAUCUGACUAAACAUUCAUCGCCUGUCACAGCUCCAUGGCUUCAUUGAAAGUUAGAAACCAUAACUAAUUUAUUAGUGAAGUUUUGUAUAGAUAAACCCAUAUUUUAUCUUCUGUCCUAGCACUUACAAUAAAUUGCUAGUUCCCUUAUGACCUUUGGUUAAUGGUUUUACAACCUCUUGGAAUGUGGUUUGAGUAGUAGAAAGUCUGGUUACUAUCUACAAGCAGUUAACUGGUGAGACUUGGGAGACUGACAGAGAUCUCAUUGCAGUUUUGACUAUCAGAAAAGGAACUAAUUACAGUCCCACUAUAAAAGAGCUUAGUAAAUACUAGUAUAAUUUUAAGAAUUCUUAUAAGAUCAUCAUUAAGAAUUAAAUCAUCGAUUUGUCUAUACAGCAUCACUACAAGACAGUAGUACAUCUUCAUAGAUUUGCAGAGAUCUAAAUAGCAGGAAUCUUUCCUAAAAUUAUUUGUUCCUGGGCCUUGCCCAUCAGAGCUUCAUAGUAGAUAUUAAUCUAAAGCAACAUUAUUUCAGGAAGAUCACCUGGUAGUUAUUACCUUGUCCUGUGAUAGCUCCUGGCAUGUUUGGGGGGAAAAAAGAAUCAGAAGUUUCCAUUUGGAUCCUACAGCAAACUGAAAAGAUAUAACAUUGGGAGACAGAGCCAGAAAGUUAGGGCCUGAUGCGAGGGUUCUGAACAAUCUUAAUAAGACUGAGAACAUGACUAAACAGACAGGUAGAAGCUACUGAGGGGUUUUUAAUCACUGCAAUUAGGUCACAACUGUGCCAUGUGAAGUUGAGUUCUAUUAGCACUGAAACCAAAGUGGAACCAUCAGACUAGUUACAUGGAGAGGAGAAUCUGAAUUCAGAAUAACAAAACUUGUUUGGUGACAGAAAAGCAAGAAACAGCCCUGAGGCAGCUCAUGGUCUCCCAGCUCCUGCGGUGGUAAAUAGAAAGCAUGGGACCAGGUCUCAUGUUUGCUCCUUAAGAUAACCUGAAUAUCCUAAUGUCAAUAGAAUUUAAUGCUUUGUAAAUGAUAUAAUUCCUUAGGAGACAAAGCAGAAAGCAUUUACUAAUGCAGUUUCCAGAGGGGGGGAAAAAGGCAAAACUUGAGAUGUGAUCAAAAACAAGAAUCUAGUGGAGAAAAAUUAAUGAGUAUAAUCUUAAAAUAGCUACCUCAGGCUCUACAGAUAAGAGCACUGGCUGUUCUUAGAGAGGACCUGGGCCUAAUCUCACAGCUAUCUAACUCCAGUUCCAGGAGUACCUGCAGGCAAUACAC